rnacentral:rRNA from 1 species
CGGCGUUAAUAUAUGACCCGAUUAGCAGCUUCCGGGAAACCAAAGUUUUUCGUUUCCGGGGGAAGUAUGGUUGCAAAGCUGAAACUUAAAGGAAUUGACGGAAGGGCACCACCAGGAGUGGAGCCUGCGGCUUAAUUUGACUCAACACGGGAAAACUCACCCGGCCCGGACACCGUAAGGAUUGACAGACUGAGAGCUCUUUCUUAAUUCGGUGGGUGGUGGUGCAUGGCCGUUCUUAGUUGGUGGAGCGAUUUGUCUGGUUAAUUCCGAUAACGAACGAGACUCUGGCCUAUUAAAUAGACGAUAUAUUUAAAAGUAUAUCGCGCUUCUUAGAGGGACAAGCGGCGUCUAGCCGCAUGAAAUAGAGCAAUAACAGGUCUGUGAUGCCCUUAGAUGUCCGGGGCUGCACGCGCGCUACACUGAAAGAAUCAGUGUGCGUUACGCCUAGUUCGGAAGAACCGGGUAACCCAAGUAAAUUCUUUCGUGCUUGGGAUAGGGAAUUGCAAUUAUUUCCCUUAAACGAGGAAUUCCCAGUAAAUGCGGGUCAUAAGCUCGCGUUGAUUACGUCC